rnacentral:tRNA from 1 species
GGCCUGAUAGCUCAGUUGGUAGAGCAAAGGACUGAAAAUCCUUGUGUCCCUGGUUCGAUUCCAGGUCAGGCCACCA